AACUUUGAGUAAUCGCGGCAUUCAAUGCUGAGGAAAGUCCAUGCUCGCACAAGCUGAGAUGCUUGUAGUGUUCGUGCUUAGCGAAACAAUAAGCUAAGGCAACUUUAUGUUGACGGCAGAAAAACGAGCUACGGCAAUGCUAUGCUCUAGUAUUCUUGAAAGUGCCACAGUGACGAAGCAAUUUUGGAAACGAAAUUGGUGGAACGCGGUAAACCCCUCGAGCGAGCAACCCAAACUUAUGGUAGGGGCAC
rnacentral:RNase_P_RNA from 1 species